GAGUAGCGGCGAGCGAAACGGAAAGAGCCCAAACCAAGAAGCUUGCUUCUUGGGGUUGUAGGACACUCUAUACGGAGUUACAAAAGAAAGUUAUAAAUGAAGCGGUCUGGAAAGGCCCGCCAAAGACGGUAACAGCCCGGUAGUUGAAAUGGCUUUCCCUCCAGAGUGGAUCCUGAGUACGGCGGAACACGUGAAAUUCCGUCGGAAUCCGGGAGGACCAUCUCCCAAGGCUAAAUACUCCCUAGUGACCGAUAGUGAACCAGUACCGUGAGGGAAAGGUGAAAAGCACCCCGGAAGGGGAGUGAAACAGUUCCUGAAACCGUGUGCCUACAAGUAGUUAGAGCCCGUUAAUGGGUGAUAGCGUGCCUUUUGUAGAAUGAACCGGCGAGUUACGAUUUGUUGCAAGGUUAAGCGGAAAAAGCGGAGCCGUAGCGAAAGCGAGUCUGAAUAGGGCGCAUAAGUAACAGGUCGUAGACCCGAAACCAGGUGAUCUACCCAUGUCCAGGAUGAAGGUAAGGUAAUACUUACUGGAGGUCCGAACCCACGCACGUUGAAAAGUGCGGGGAUGAGGUGUGGGUAGCGGAGAAAUUCCAAUCGAACUUGGAGAUAGCUGGUUCUCUCCGAAAUAGCUUUAGGGCUAGCCUCGAGGUAAAGAGUCAUGGAGGUAGAGCACUGUUUGGACUAGGGGCCCUUCUCGGGUUACCGAAUUCAGAUAAACUCCGAAUGCCAUGUACUUAUACUCGGGAGUCAGACUGCGAGUGAUAAGAUCCGUAGUCGAAAGGGAAACAGCCCAGACCACCAGUUAAGGUCCCCAAAUAUAUGUUAAGUGGAAAAGGAUGUGGGGUUGCUUAGACAACCAGGAUGUUGGCUUAGAAGCAGCCACCAUUGAAAGAGUGCGUAAUAGCUCACUGGUCGAGUGACCCCGCGCCGAAAAUGUACCGGGGCUAAACAUAUUACC
rnacentral:rRNA from 1 species